UACGGAGGGUGCGAGCGUUGCUCGGAAUUAUUGGGCGUAAAGCGCACGUAGGCGGCUCUGUAAGUUGGAUGUGAAAGCCCUCGGCUCAACCAAGGAAGUGCAUCCAAAACUACAGAGCUUGAGUACUUAAGAGGAUCGCGGAAUUCCCGGUGUAGAGGUGAAAUUCGUAGAUAUCGGGAGGAACACCAGUGGCGAAGGCGGCGAUCUGGGAAGAUACUGACGCUGAGGUGCGAAAGCGUGGGGAGCAAACAGG
rnacentral:rRNA from 1 species